UGAGCGACACCAUUGCUUGUACUGAAG
rnacentral:piRNA from 1 species